GAUGAACGCUGGCGGCGUGCCUAAUACAUGCAAGUCGAGCGAAUGGAUUAAGAGCUUGCUCUUAUGAAGUUAGCGGCGGACGGGUGAGUAACACGUGGGUAACCUGCCCAUAAGACUGGGAUAACUCCGGGAAACCGGGGCUAAUACCGGAUAACAUCUUGAACCGCAUGGUUUGAAAUUGAAAGGCGGCUUCGGCUGUCACUUAUGGAUGGACCCGCGUCGCAUUAGCUAGUUGGUGAGGUAACGGCUCACCAAGGCAACGAUGCGUAGCCGACCUGAGAGGGUGAUCGGCCACACUGGGACUGAGACACGGCCCAGACUCCUACGGGAGGCAGCAGUAGGGAAUCUUCCGCAAUGGACGAAAGUCUGACGGAGCAACGCCGCGUGAGUGAUGAAGGCUUUCGGGUCGUAAAACUCUGUUGUUAGGGAAGAACAAGUGCUAGUUGUAUAAGCUGGCACCUUGACGGUACCUAACCAGAAAGCCACGGCUAACUACGUGCCAGCCGCCGCAGUAA
rnacentral:rRNA from 1 species